GACGAACGCUGGCGGCGUGCUUAACACAUGCAAGUCGAACGGAAAGGCCCUGCUUUUGUGGGGUGCUCGAGUGGCGAACGGGUGAGUAACACGUGAGUAACCUGCCCUUGACUUUGGGAUAACUUCAGGAAACUGGGGCUAAUACCGGAUAGGAGCUCCUGCUGCAUGGUGGGGAUUGGAAAGUUUCGGCGGUUGGGGAUGGACUCGCGGCUUAUCAGCUUGUUGGUGGGGUAGUGGCUUACCAAGGCUUUGACGGGUAGCCGGCCUGAGAGGGUGACCGGCCACAUUGGGACUGAGAUACGGCCCAGACUCCUACGGGAGGCAGCAGUGGGGAAUAUUGCACAAUGGGCGGAAGCCUGAUGCAGCAACGCCGCGUGCGGGAUGACGGCCUCCGGGUUGUAAACCGCUUUCGCCUGUGACGAAGCGUGAGUGACGGUAAUGGGUAAAGAAGCACCGGCUAACUACGUG
rnacentral:rRNA from 1 species